CAGUCGCCACGGUAAUACGGAGGGGGCUAGCGUUGUUCGGAAUUACUGGGCGUAAAGCGCACGUAGGCGGCUUGGUAAGUUAGAGGUGAAGGCCUGGAGCUCAACUCCAGAAUUGCCUUUAAGACUGCCGAGCUAGCAGGUGAGAGAGGUAAGUGGAAUUCCGAGUGUAGAGGUGAAAUUCGUAGAUAUUCGGAAGAACACCAGUGGCGAAGGCGGCUUACUGGCUCCUACUGGACGCUGAGGUGCGAAAGCGUGGGGAGCAAACAGGAUUAGAUACCCCCGUAGUCCCUGUCUCUUAUAC
rnacentral:rRNA from 1 species